AGCCUCUUCCGGUGUGCUCUCUUUCCCCCUGGCCCGUAAGGGCACAUUGCUGUCCGUUAUUUGGUUCCGCGAGGCUUUUAAGUCCCGCUUCCGGGAGACGGCGAACAAGGCUCUUCCCGGCGGUGCUCCGGGUCGCCUGCCUCAGGGAGGCCACGUUGGCUGGGGCGGAUCAGACAAGGGCACCUCUCAGUGAAAAAGAAGUCCGGAUCGCGUGUGCCUUAACAACAUCGCUUCUCUUCCUUUCUGUCGGUUCCUUCCUACCCAACACCCAAAUUAAACACACCAUUGUAGGCUGGAAGGAGAGUCUCCUGGUUUGUGCCCUGAUUUAGUCCCAAGAUCCCAGAGGAAACAGAGACAUCUCCAUGGUGACUGGAAUAAGCUGCUCAGAGAAGCAAAGCCAGGCAACAGGGUCUUGUUGUACAGUUCAGGCUGGGCUUGAACUCCUGGCAGUCCUCCUGCCUCAGCCUCCUGAGCACUGGGAUCACAGGUGACGCUGGUUGGCUGCUACAGAGCUGGGGAGUGAAGAGGCCAGCGCUUCCCCUUCCCCCAUCUCCCCCAGAUGACAGACACACAUGGAGGGCCAGGAGCUGCCCAGCCCCAAGGACAUAAAGGUUCUAGGUUGCACAAACAGAAA